CAGCGUUGCCCAUGCGCUCACAGACGUCAUAAUGGGAACUACAUAGGGAUGCUUUCUCUAUCAUUCUCUAUGGACAGUCUAGACAGCGUUGCCCAUGAGCUCACAGACGUCAUAAUAGGAACUACACAGGGAUACUUAUCAUUCUCUAUGGGCAGUCUAAACAGGGCAGGUGAGUGCAGGUAGGGUGGACAGAGCAGGUGAGUGCAGGUAGGGUAGACAGAGCAGGUGAGUGCAGGUAGGGUAGACAGAGCAGGUAAGUUCAGGUAGGGUAGACAGAGCAGGUGAGUGCAGGUAGGGUAGACAGAGCAGGUAAGUUCAGGUAGGGUAGACAGAGCAGGUGAGUGCAGGUAGGGUAGACAGAGCAGGUAAGUUCAGGUAGGGUAGACAGAGCAGGUGAGUGCAGGUAGGGUAGACAGAGCAGGUGAGUUCAGGUAGGGUUGACAGAGCAGGUGAGUUCAGGUAGAGUAGACAGAGCAGGUGAGUGCAGGUAGGGUUGACAGAGCAGGUGAGUUCAGGUAGAGUAGACAGAGCAGGUGAGUACAGGUAGGGUAGACAGAGCAGGUGAGUUCAGGUAGAGUAGACAGAGCAAGUGUUUUGUGAUUGCAGCCUUAUUCCACUUUAUGUUAAUAUAUUAACGUUUGCAAAUACACCCAGUGUAUUUAUGCAAAUGAGGAGCAAAUAAUUGUCUUUAUUUUAACGAAGAAAGAAAAUGAAAUUCCUGAUAAAAUAAGAACAUUUAUAUAUGAGUGCACUGUAAG
rnacentral:lncRNA from 1 species